GACGAACGCUGGCGGCGUGCCUAACACAUGCAAGUCGCACGGGACCAGGGGCAACUCUGGUUCAGUGGCGGACGGGUGCGUAACACGUGAGGAACAUGACCUUCGGCGGGGGAUAGCCGGCCCAACGGCCGGGUAAUACCGCGUACGACCCUUUGGGGACAUCCCUGAAGGGUGAAAGCAGCAAUGCGCCGAUGGAGUGCCUUGCGGCCUAUCAGCUAGUUGGUGGGGUAACGGCUCACCAAGGCAACGACGGGUAGCUGGUCUGAGAGGAUGGCCAGCCACAUUGGGACUGAGACACGGCCCAGACUCCUACGGGAGGCAGCAGUGGGGAAUAUUGCGCAAUGGACGAAAGUCUGACGCAGCGACGCCGCGUGUGGGAUGACGGUCUUCGGAUUGUAAACCACUGUCGGGAGGGACGAAUACGCCGCAAGGCGGGUGACGGUACCUCCAAAGGAAGCACCGGCUAACUCCGUGC
rnacentral:rRNA from 1 species